GUGUCAGUAACACACCAGUUAAACUGGGAACGAUACAGAGGAGGUUAGUAUGGUCUCUUGCGCAAAGAUGACACGCAAAAUCAAACAUUUUAUGUGAUUUUU